GCUGGGCGCCUGUGUCUGUAGUCCCAGCUACUCAGCUGAGGUGGGAGGAUCGCUGGAGCCCAGGAGUUCUGGGCUACAGUGUGCUAUGCUGAUCGGGUGUCCGCACUAAGUUCGGCAUCAAUAUGGUGACCUUCCGGGAGGAGGGACCACCAGGUUGCCUAAAGAGGAGUGAACCUGCCCAGGUCGGAAACCGAGCAGGUCAAAACUCCCGUGCUGAUCAGUAGCGGGAUCGCACCUGUGAACAGCCACUGCACUCGAGCCUCAGCAACAAAAUGGGAUGCCGUCUCUU
ensembl:misc_RNA Metazoa_SRP Metazoan signal recognition particle RNA